rnacentral:rRNA from 1 species
AAAACAUCGCCUCCUGCAACACAACCGAGUAUAGGAGGUCCAGCCUGCCCAGUGACCACAAGUUUAACGGCCGCGGUAUCCUGACCGUGCAAAGGUAGCGCAAUCACUUGUCUUUUAAAUAGAGACCUGUAUGAAUGGCCAAACGAGGGCUUAACUGUCUCCCCUUUCAAGUCAGUGAAAUUGAUCUGCCCGUGCAGAAACGGGCAUAACAAUACAAGACGAGAAGACCCUUUGGAGCUUGAGGUACAAAGCUCAACCCACGCUAAGCAACUCAAUAAGAAGCAAAAACUCUGUGGGGCAUGAUAUUUUACCUUCGGUUGGGGCGACCACGGAGGAAAAUAGAGCCUCCAAGUGGAUUGGGAAAAUCCCCUAGAGCUAAGAGAAACAUCUCUAAGCCACAGAAUAUCUGACCAAAUAUGAUCCGGUAGCAAUAACCGAUCAACGAACCAAGUUACCCUAGGGAUAACAGCGCAAUCCUCUCCCAGAGUCCAUAUCGACGAGGGGGUUUACGACCUCGAUGUUGGAUCAGGACAUCCUAAUGGUGCAGCCGCUAUUAAGGGUUCGUUUGUUCAACGAUUAAAGUCCUACGUGA